AUGAAAUUUUGCAGGGAAACCAUGGAAGAUAUGGCAGAUGGAGACUAUUCUGAUUCUGAGCAAAUGAUUAUUAAUGACCUUACUGCAAUGUCACUUUUGCAACAUGUGCUGUUCGGAAGGCUAUUCAAAACACCACGUAAUACCUCUAAAUUAACUGGUGCGCAAAAGACUAGAGAGUGGUUGGAAGGACAUCCAGUUAGAUUUUAUGAACAACUUCGUGUUGAUAAGCACACCUUCUACUUAUUGCGAGAUGCAUUGUGCGAGAGGAAUUUACUUACGGAUACAAAACGGAUGGACGUCAAUGAACAACUAGUCAUAUUUCUACAUACAAUUGGUCACAAUGUUAGGAACCGUGUUAUCCAGGAUAGAUUUCAACAUUCAGGAGAAACAAUAAGUCGGCAUUUCAAGAGAGUAUUAAAAGCCAUUAAUGGCUUACGUGAUGUUUACAUAAUAGAUCCGCCCAAUGAAGUUCCCAACGAAAUAUUGGGCGACUCAAGGUUUUACCCAUACUUCAAGGUAUAUAUUCUAUCUCAAGAACAUGUUCCUUUCGGAUAUUACUUGCAGCAAAGUUGA
rnacentral:rRNA from 1 species